UACGUAGGUGGCAAGCGUUGUCCGGAAUUAUUGGGCGUAAAGCGCGCGCAGGUGGUUUCUUAAGUCUGAUGUGAAAGCCCACGGCUCAACCGUGGAGGGUCAUUGGAAACUGGGGAACUUGAGUGCAGGAGAGAAGAGUGGAAUUCCACGUGUAGCGGUGAAAUGCGUAGAGAUGUGGAGGAACACCAGUGGCGAAGGCGGCUCACUGGGACGGUAUUGACGCUGAGGAGCGAAAGCGUGGGGAGCGAACAGG
rnacentral:rRNA from 1 species